rnacentral:tRNA from 1 species
GCCCCGGUAGCUCAAUGGAUAGAGCAACACCCUUCUAAGGUGGAGGUUGUGCGUUCGACUCGCACCCGGGGCGCCA